AAUACUCACUCACACACACACACACACAUAUACAUAUAUGUAUAUAAGGCACCCCCACUCAUGAAUGUCGAUAAACGGUUUCAUUGAGUAACGAAAACAGCUGACUAACUGUGCGUGGGCUUCAUAUGCGUACGCCACGAUCAAACGCGCUCUCUCUCUCCCUCUCUCUCUUACUAUGCUCUGCUCUUCCCACUACCGUUUCUUUUUGUUGCGUUUUGGUAUGUACAUUCAUAGCUUUGAGACUAGAGUCAAAAUUAGGCAACGGUAAAAAAAACGAACGGUCGCUUGGGAAAGUGGAGCAUGAGCGCAGCUGGCAGCGACGUCAGCGUCAAGCAUGAGUAAUAAUGGGCAUUGCGCUGUGACGGUGCCAACUUUAAAUCGUAUGAUCAGAGCACAAAGUUCGCUAACAGAGGUGCUACACUUGAGAGAAAAGGUCAGAACGAUUAGUAUUAGAGAGAGAGAGGGACAAAGAGCGAAAUGUAAAAGAAAUAAGAGAGAGCUACGUUGCGCGUUGCAUGUGCCACAACAAACCCAUAAAAGUCAUACGAUGUCGAGAAAAUGACGUGGCGACAACCCAUCGUAAGGAUUAACGAGGGGGGAGGAAUGAAUGGAAUCGGCGGCGCCACGCCGGUUGUAGCACAAAUCGAUGGCGCAGCAGCAGCAGCUGUUGUGCGAGUGCAUCAAAUAUCUGGGACCUGAACAGCAUUGUUAUGUAAACAUCUGAG